CAAUUCUCAGACUGAAUGUUGAACAUCAGCUAGUUUCUCCUGUUGAUUUAAACCUUGUUGUAGAGAUGGAACAUUGGCUGGGGAUUAUUCUUGCUGCUCUUUUCUUUGGACUAAUAGCUGGAGACACAAUCUCUCCUGUACGAGAGGAAGUCAGUGAAAGAGAAGGACAAUCUGUCACACUCACAUGCAACUAUCAGACAGCUGCUACUAAUAUUUGGCUUUACUGGUACAAACAUCAUUCUGACCUUCAGGCACCUCAGUUUAUACUCUGGAAAGGAGCAAAAUCAUCGAGUGAUUAUAAGUAUAUUCCUGAUAGAAGAUAUGAAUCUGAAACAUCAGCAACAUCAACUACACUGACCAUCAGAGAUCUAACCCUGGCAGACACAGCUCUCUACUACUGUGCUCUAGAAACACAGUGAUACAAAGUGUAGAAGAGGCUGUACAAAAACCUGAACCCAGAUAUCUGACUACUCUUCAAAGAGGAGGGAAGUGGUAUUCAAACCACAGCUUCAUAUCAGAUGGAUUCUGCUAAUUCCUGUUUUAUCAGAGUCACUGUGGUUCCAGCUGCUAAUGAAACACUGGGGGAGGAUUCACAGGAGCAGCAAAUCCACAUCAGAGAGAAACCACCUGCAGGAUCCUCAAUAAGGAGAAUAUUAGUAAUAUGUCAGACCUAAUGUUCAGCAUGUCUAACUAUACAUUCCAACAUUUAGCUAAAUAAAUGAUUUGACACCCAA